CGAAGCCCCUGCCUCCCGAGUUUGUGCUCUGAUGGGGAAGGCCUAGCACAGACAUGGGAUGUCACGGCAGGGCUCUGAAGAGCAGAAGGCUGGGAGGAGGUAUAGCAGGACCAGACGACUGUCACCCCAGUGGGCACGGCAGGCCCCGCUGGGCGGCAUCUUUUGCACAGACCUGAAUUCAUCGGUUUCUCCCCUGAACAUGACUCUUGCA
rnacentral:lncRNA from 1 species